rnacentral:rRNA from 1 species
CAGCAGCCGCGGUAAUACGGAGGAUCCAAGCGUUAUCCGGAAUCAUUGGGUUUAAAGGGUCCGUAGGCGGUCUUGUAAGUCAGUGGUGAAAGCCCAUCGCUCAACGGUGGAACGGCCAUUGAUACUGCAGGACUUGAAUUAUUGGGAAGUAACUAGAAUAUGUAGUGUAGCGGUGAAAUGCUUAGAGAUUACAUGGAAUACCAAUUGCGAAGGCAGGUUACUACCAAUUGAUUGACGCUGAUGGACGAAAGCGUGGGUAGCGAACAGGAUUAGAGACCCCUGUAGUCCCUGUCUCUUAUAU